CUGCCAAAAACACUCAUGUUUUUAAGAUACAUGCUAGCAAACCAUUUUUCUUUUACUAAGAUAGCAUGUACCAAAGCAUUAUCACGGCUUCAAAGUGUGCGCUUUGAGAUAUUCUGGAGAGUUUUACUGAUUCUUAGACUGUCUAAGAUUUUUCUCUUUACUGUUACAGGUAAGAUUCAUCUGUAGGAAAAGGUUACUGAUUGCACAAGGUUUGAAUUCCUGUUGGUAAUUA